UUUACCCUUACAGAAUAAUUUUUAACUUUCCUUGUGCUUGUAAUUUUCCCUAGAAAGAAGAAGUAUGGAGGAAAAUGAAAAGCUCCCACGGAAGAAAGCAAAACACAAGCUCUCACAUGAUGGAAUUAUUACGAUGAAGGCCGAGCAAGUACUAUCAAAGAAUGAUGCCACCGAUGAAUCCCGAUAUGGUGUCGAUAGUUUCAUAGACGACUCUUUUUCAUCUUAAUUGGGUGCUAUCCUACCUGAGCUUUAUUUUUUUUCUUUUGUUUUUUUAAUUUAUUUAUUUUUAUAAGUUUGAUCUUCUUGACCUUGUAAGACCUUUUCUUGACCUUGUAAGACCCAGUCCAGCAUUUAUAACUCUUCUUCUCCUUCCUUGUCUAUCCCUCCUGAGCUAUUUCAAACUUGUUUCCUGCCGUUGACAUCUAGUAAGUCACAUUCGGUGCCAGAUAAAUUCGAAGUAUAAGCGAAUCAUUUUACAUUUGUAUUGUUAUAGUGUUAAAAGGUCAAAUGUUGUAAUGAAGGGUGUAGAAAAUAUGCUUUAGCAGGCACCAGUUUCGUUGUUUUAUAUGUUGUUGGUCCAAAGACUAAGAUGUGAGAGAUAAUAAAAUUCAAAAUAUUCCCUCAGAUAUUUUGU